GACAAAGGACAGUAAAACAAUCAUCAACAAAAAGGUAGCAAGAAUCAGACAAGCUUAAUUUUUCCUUGUAAUUGGUCAUAUGAAACAACCACAAGCCUAGCUCUAGCCCUUUACACUAUCUCAUUUAGUACCACAGAUCUUUAGCAAUUUUGAAUGUCUCUCACGAGAACCUUCACAUGAAACUGGAAGUUUUUACCAUUCACACACACAGGGUUAUGACUCCUUUUUGUACUGCAAGCCAACAGAUUGGCUCAGCUGUCCCCAAAACCUCCUGUGCCUGUAGUACAUGCCAGAGAGAAAGGAACCAUGAAGAAAAGGAUGUUUGGCUGAGGGAAGCCCAUUCCACAUGAUUGCAGUCUUUAGGAGGCAGCUGAGACAAAUCACAUAAAAGCAGUUGAAAGGAAAAACAUGUUUUUCUCUUGGCUGCCUCCUGUAUCAGCACUUAGGAAACAGCCACUCCACAAGCAGAACAAAAUUCAGCUAUCAAAAAAUUCAGAAACUCCAAGCAAACUCGGCCAGGACAGAAUUUUCUCUCCAAGUCAUGCCAUUAUCUCAAGCCAUUUCAAGUUGCAUCAUUCCUUCACGUGCAUCACAGGUCAUUAUGAUGCAGAGUCUUCCUCGUGUGUGUGAGACCAUCCACACUGCUACCUCAAAGACACAUUACCAGAACCGGGUCUGAUUGAAUUCUGUCCUGAGAGCUCUGGCCAGUCACCUUCCUCAACUAACCCAGAUGUCAUGCAGAUUAGGAAGGAAGGAAAAAGGUGUCAGCCGGACAUCUGUUGAACUGUAAAGGUCAGCUCUGUUUGGCAUAGGCUUCAACAAAACUCCACCACUUCCUUACUCGCUGCACAGCCAGGCCUUCUCCCAUUGGCAGCAGUGCGUGCUAGGAAAGCAACAUGCUCAAACAAGAACUUUGAACAGACUGAGAUAAAACCUGGAACAAAACAUUCUCUGUAAAAGCUAGCAUGGAGAAUGAAAUUAUAAGUGACUGCUGAAGGAAAGAUUGAUACAUCCUGGAGGGUCCACAUUCCUACCUAUAAGAAAUAUCUGGGCAAGGAAACUCCAAAGCAAGAUGCACUUCAGCGAGUGGCACAGCAGCAACAGGAGCUGAUCUAUAAAGCAAAGCAGUUGGUGCUGAGAACUCAGUACCAGUGUUACAUCCAUUUGGGUGGGUUUACCACAGGAGCAGCCUGGCUUUAGUCCAGUACUGCACGCAAAUGCACGCUACAGAGCCUAUCAGGUGCAUUCCCAGAAGCAGACCUUUCUGUUUGUUUUCAUCUCAUGGAAUCUAUUUACACGCUUUAAUGGAAAUCAAAGCACAUUAACUAGAGAAUAUAUAAAAAGCACCCUCCUGACAAAAACUGAAAUGUAGACUCAGUGUGUCCAUACAGUUCUUUCACCAAACUGAGGGCCAAUUUAGAUGGUCAACAUCAAAUAGCUUUUAAUAUAUGUUUUAGGCCAACAACAUAAACUAAGUAAAUCGUGUCAUUUGAAUUUUGAGAUCUGAUUUUAAAAGCAUCAGCACAGGAAGACUUCCAGAAAAUGCCUGCAGUAAAGAAUCUGUUAUCUCUUGAGAGCUUUCCCAUAACUUUUCACGCUGUUUAGAGGAGGCUGACAUUCAGAUUACCGUGCAGCAUUGUCACUUGUAUGUAACUUGGGCUGUACCUACCAG